rnacentral:rRNA from 1 species
UAAACUAGGAUUAGAUACCCUAUUAUAGGAAUUUUUUGGAUUAGUAUAUUUUGGAAAUUUAAUUAAUUUGGCGGUUAAUUUAGGUAGUAGAGGAACUUGUUUUUGGAAUCAGCCCCUUAAAUUUUAUUUGUUAAAGGUUUAUUUAUCUCUGUUGGGAAAAUUUAUUUGAGUAAGUAGUUGCUAGAAUUUCAGGUCAAGAUGUAGUUUUAAUAAAAGUAAAUUAGUUACAAUUUUGUAGAAUGAUGAAUAAUUGAUUUUGAGGUAAUUUGAAAAUGAAUUUAUUUGUAAUUAUUUUUAAAAAUAGAUAAUGAAAAGAGUAUAUUAGUGUACAUAUCGCC